CCCAGACUCCUACGGGAGGCAGCAGUGGGGAAUAUUGCGCAAUGGGCGAAAGCCUGACGCAGCGACGCCGCGUGAGGGAUGAAGGUCUUCGGAUCGUAAACCUCUGUCAGCAGGGAAGAACGGUCACUGUGCUAAUCAGCAGUGAAUUGACGGUACCUGCAAAAGAAGCACCGGCUAACUACGUGCCAGCAGCCGCGGUAAUACGUAGGGGGCAAGCGUUAUCCGGAUUUACUGGGUGUAAAGGGAGCGUAGACGGCAUGGCAAGUCUGAUGUGAAAACCCGGGGCUCAACCCUGGAACUGCGUUUGAAACUGUUCUUCUUGAGUGAUGGAGAGGCAGGCGGAAUUCCGUGUGUAGCGGUGAAAUGCGUAGAUAUACGGAGGAACACCAGUGGCGAAGGCGGCCUGCUGGACAUUAACUGACGCUGAGGCGCGAAAGCGUGGGGAGCAAACAGGAUUAGAUACCCGAGUACG
rnacentral:rRNA from 1 species